UGUUUACUAGCAGUUUGUGUAAUUUUUAAAAUCCUUAAAUGGAUAUAAAUAACAUGAUAUUUCGCUUGGAGGACCUUACGGCCGAAAAAGUGUACGAAGAAUAUGGGAUUAACGAGGAAAUACGGCGAGAAAAUCCAGGCAUAUAUAAAAUGUUUGUCGAGGAUUUUAUACCCACACGUGAAGAUUUGGAGCGCGAAAUCGAUGAGGAUGGGCUGAAAGAAUUAUGCAUGCGCUUGCCCUGUCGAGUGUUAAUGUAUCGAUGGAAUCCAGUGCAAGACUUUGUCGACCAGUUCACACGGCAAGGACGCAUACAACGCUGGACAAAGGAAAAAACGCAAAAGCUUUUAGUUAAAGCAGUGCAACGACAUAAAAAUGUGUGCCUUUAUAGUGACAUGGAGAUACGUAAGCAGCGGGAAAGGGAAUGGUGUGAGCGCAAAAAAGAAAAUUUGAUGCGACUAGAAGUCUGGGAAUAUGAUCGGAAGCAAGAGGAAAAAAGCCGACAGACUGAAGAGCAACAAUGCGAUGCCAAUGAACUGAGUGAAGACGAAAACCAUAAUGCAGUGCCCAACGAGGCGUUCGCACAGCGAUCAAUAAUUUCAACUGUAAUGGAUUUAGAAGCUGUAAUGGCAGAAUUGCAUGGUACAACAGUUGACUCAACACCUUCUGAUAUUGUGCAAAUGCAACCAUUAAGUCAAACGCAAGCUAAUACACUUCGAAACACACAGAAUACCGAGGAGUUAGCGAAUAGAGAAUAUGUUGAUUUGGUGCGACAGUUAAACUCAGAAUCUGGGCCUAAUUUAGCAGAUUAUAUUAAUGUUAAUACUGAAUCGUUGGGGCUUGAGGAUUCAACUGCUAUUUCACAGCAAGUGAUAGAUGAUGGGAAAUUUACGCCACACAAUAGGGAAUACGGGGAUUUGGUGCAACAGUUGAAUUCAGAAUAUGUUGAUACUGAGUCUUUGCAGCUUGAAGAUUCAACAACUAUUUCACAGCAAGUGAUAUAUGAUGGGGAAUGCACGCCACCAUAUUGCGAAUUCACUACGUUGCUAUCGGUGACAUCUACACAAUCACCGACGAAUAUGCCAGUUGAGGCCGAGGUUUCAUCAAAUUCGGGUGGAGCCCAUGCGUUCGAUCUUCGUGGUGCAUGUCAUACAUAUACGGGAUUUUUGCCUUAAAUGGUAUGUUCAUCUGUUAUUCGAUAAGUAACUUUUGACAAAUAAACGCGCAAGAAAUAGUUCCGAUACUCUCAAAUAAAAAGGGAAUGCCGCAUCAUACUAAAGCCAGCUUCUCGACAUAAGCUACCAUUCCAUACGAACACAGACGUGUUUACGUACACGUUUAUAAUUGAAUCGAUUAUUUAUCUAUCUCAGAAAACUUUUCAAGAACGCCCUACUUCUGAAUUUUACUGAAAAAUACUCUAUCUUCUUGCGUUCUUUCAAAGUUUUCGGAGAUAGGGCGUUUCGAGACAGGUCGAUCUUCCACUCAGGUAUCGAUAUGUAAUACAGGCAACUUAAAUUUUAAUUUUGCCAAAAACUGAGAAAAUGUUAGUCUACCACACGCAUAUGUAUGUAUAAUUAAUGAUUAAGUAUGCUACAAUAUAGGAAUGCACACUUAAAUAAUCUAAUGUUUACUUAUACAAUUCAUAAUUCCCUUUCUUCAGUUUUACAUACAACUUACAUGCUUACUUAUUCAAGUUAGCUACAGCAGGUUAGUUAUAAAAAGAAAAUAGUUAAACAACGCUUUGGAAGGCAAUUAUGUACAUAUGUAUGUACCGUAUGUAGGUACUAUUAAAACACAAUUUUGUAUAUUUUUUCGAAAAAGGUUAGCUUUUAUUAUUUCUUCGUAAAUCGAAAACAGUAUUUACGCAAAUCAGUAGCUCAGUAACACAUAACAGAAUAGAUAAAAUGAUCCAAAUUAAUAUUAAAAACCUUCAUUUU